AGAGUUUGAUCAUGGCUCAGAACGAACGCUGGCGGCAGGCCUAACACAUGCAAGUCGAACGAGAAGCCUGGCUUCGGCCAGGUGGAAAGUGGCAGACGGGUGAGUAACGCGUGGGAACGUACCCUUUGGUUCGGAACAACUCCGGGAAACUGGAGCUAAUACCGGAUGUGCCCUUCGGGGGAAAGAUUUAUCGCCAAGGGAUCGGCCCGCGUCGGAUUAGCUUGUUGGUGGGGUAAUGGCCUACCAAGGCUAUGAUCUGUAGCUGGUCUGAGAGGAUGAUCAGCCACACUGGGACUGAGACACGGCCCAGACUCCUACGGGAGGCAGCAGUGGGGAAUAUUGGACAAUGGGCGCAAGCCUGAUCCAGCCAUGCCGCGUGAGUGAUGAAGGCCCUAGGGUUGUAAAGCUCUUUCGCCAGGGACGAUAAUGACGGUACCUGGAUAAGAAGCCCCGGCUAACUUCGUGCCAGCAGCCGCGGUAAUACGAAGGGGGCUAGCGUUGUUCGGAAUUACUGGGCGUAAAGCGCAUGCAGGCGGAUCGCUAAGUCGGGGGUGAAAGCCCGAGGCUCAACCUCGGAACUGCCCUCGAUACUGGCGGUCUCGAGUCCGGGAGAGGUGAGUGGAACUCCGAGUGUAGAGGUGAAAUUCGUAGAUAUUCGGAAGAACACCAGGCGAAGGCGGCUCACUGGCCCGGUACUGACGCUGAGAUGCGAAAGCGUGGGGAGCAAACAGGAUUAGAUACCCUAGUAGUCC
rnacentral:rRNA from 1 species